CCUACGGGGGGCAGCAGUGAGGAAUAUUGGUCAAUGGCCGAGAGUCUGAACCAGCCAAGUCGCGUGAAGGAUGACUGCCCUAUGGGUUGUAAACUUCUUUUAUCAAGGAAUAAAACGAGGCACGUGUGCCUUUUUGCAUGUACUUUAUGAAUAAGCAUCGGCUAACUCCGUGCCAGCAGCCGCGGUAAUACGGGGGAUGCAAGCGUUAUCCGGAUUUAUUGGGUUUAAAGGGUGCGUAGGCUGUGAGGUAAGUCAGCGGUGAAAUGACGCGGCUCAACGGGGUGAAGUGCCGUUGAUACUGCCUUUCUGGAAUGCGGAUGCCGUGGGAGGAAUGUGUGGUGUAGCGGUGAAAUGCAUAGAUAUCACACAGAACACCGAUUGCGAAGGCAGCUUACGAAUCCGCGAUUGACGCUGAUGCACGAAAGCGUGGGUAUCAAACAGGAUUAGAUACCCGAGUAGUC
rnacentral:rRNA from 1 species